CGUUACCACCAGAGGAAGCACCAGCAAACUUCGUGCCAGCAGCUGCGGUAAUACGAAGGGUGCGAGCGUUGUUCGGAAUUACUGGGCUUAAAGGGCGCGUAGGCGGAAUGGUAAAUCAGGGGUGAAAGCCCGGCGCUCAACGUCGGAAUUGCUUCUGAAAAUGCCUUUCUCGAGCGCAGGAGGGGAGAGCGGAACUCUUGGUGGAGCGGUGAAAUGCGUAGAUAUCAAGGGGAACGCCGGCGGCGAAAGCGACCCUCUGGCCCGAAACUGACGCUGAGUGUGCGAAAGCUAGGGGAGCAAACGGGAUUAGAUACCCCGGUAGUCCUAGCCGUAAA
rnacentral:rRNA from 1 species